CUUGAACUCAUGACCCUGAGAUUAAGACCUGAGCUGAGAUCAAGAGUCAGAUGCUUAACCGACUGAACCACCCAGGUGUCCCCACAUUCAAUCCUGUCUGCUAGUCUCCAUGACGGAUGGCCUGAGACAGUGACCUGCCAGUGUUUGCCUGUUCCUUCUCCUACAUUUCCUUCAUCGCUCUCCAAGGUGCCUUAGGAUUAGCUCUUAGGAGGAAAAUACCUAAGAAGAGGUGAUUAAUCACUGUCUGAAAAGUGCUUUGAGAUCCUCUGAAGAAAGGAAACUGCAUCAGACAUGAACAGCGCCAAGCUGAGCCCUGGGCUUCCUGCUCCUGUGUUCUUUCACCGUCUCAUGCUGCCCAUCUCCUGACCAGGACAGUUAAACCAGUGUAAAAUGUCCAGUGUUCCUGGCUACUCUGGAGGUAUCAGCAGCUCAGCCAAACUGAAGGUAUUCUGAACACAUUGCAGAGCAUCUAAACUGAGUGGGGAGAAUUUAUAUUCUAAAAAACAUUGGAACACUGGGACCAUAAAGGACUACCAAAGACUCAGUCUUAAGAGCUUAAAUGGACUGAGUUGUUCCAGAGCAGAGCCAAAGGCACGGAGGCAGACGCAGAUUUGGAGCUGCUCUGAGGCAGAUGCCAAGUUGUGAAGCAGUGGGAGGGGCUGCCCCACGUAACCCCCACGCCACUGGGGCCUCUGCCUGUGGAACCCAAGCAAGAUGGACUUGCCCUCCUCCCUCGGCUUGUACCAGGUGAGAGUCCAGACCUGUGAGCAAGAGUUUGGCGAGUUCUUGUCAUAUGGUUAAUGCUGACUCUGGGUACCUGCCGUCAGUUGUGCUGUCUGUUUCGCAGCGUCUCACUCGAGGUUUAAAGUCACCCACAACUUUAAUUUUCACUAAAAAAUUAGAGUGGGUGGAAGUAAAGCAGAAAAGACAGGAUCUGUUAACAUCAUGGGGGAAAAACCCCGAACAAGCCAAGUAACAUUCUCAUGGCACACUAGGUAGAAAGACCUCCCGCCAGCCCCUCUCAGAGAUGGCUGCAAUGGUCCCAGCCUCUCUCCAACUUGUGAUAUGCCCUCUCUCCUCAUCUUUCUCUGCAAAGCUUUCCUCCAUCCCCAUCAGGAGAACACAAAUUAUUCUUGUCUCAUACAGAGUGCUUGAGCAUGGGGAUACCCAUGGUUUUGGGGGCUUACCACACCCUAGUACCCCACAGUAUUCUGCAUUUCUCCCAACUCUAUUCCCAUCCCAGAUGGAAUUCUGCUGUCAUCAGAAUUAUCGUGUUAUACUUGGAAAGUAGUGAGUUUCCCAUUCAUUAAGUCUGGGUGAGGGUCUGACAGAAUCAUGCAGAAGGGAUUCCAGCCCUGGCAGUAAAAAGUUGGGGAAGUUGAAUUAGGGAAUACUUUACUGUUCCUUCCACAUCAAAACUCUUGGAUUCUACCCUUGAACUUGAGAUAUUUUUAAAUGAAAAUAAUAUUACUAUUGGUUCUAAUGAUGGAAGUGAUAAGUGCACACUGUUUUAAAAAAACCAGAUAAUACAAACAUAGAAAUUGAAAGAAUUUACCCAUAUUUCCUUUACCCAGAGAAAAGCACUGCCAUUUACAUGUUGGCGUACAUCAUUUCAAAUUCCAGAUUUAUACAGUAUUAUUUAUUUACUUACUUUAUAAAGAUGGAUUGAAACCCACCACUUCAUAACCUGUUUUUUCCCCAGUGAAUAUAGCUCCACAUCAACAGUUAUAAACCCACAUCAUUAAAAAAAAUUUUUUUUUCUUUAAUGUUCAUUUAUUUUUGAGAGAGAGAGACAGAGCGUGAGCAGGGGAUAGGGGGGUCAGAGAGA